AGUUUGAUCCUGGAUAAGAUGAACGCUGGCGGCGUGCCUAAUACAUGCAAGUCGAGUGGUAAGGCCCUUCGGGGUACACGAGCGGCGGACGGCUGAGUAACACGUAGGAACGUACCCCAAAGUGAGGGAUAAGCACCAGAAAUGGUGUCUAAUACCGCAUGUGCUCUAAGGAGUAAAGCUCCGGCGCUUUGGAAACGGCCUGCGCAUGAUUAGCUAGAUGGUGAGGUAAUGGCUCACCAUGGCGACGAUCAUUAGCUGGUCUGAGAGGAUGAUCAGCCAGACUGGGACUGAGACACGGCCCAGACUCCUACGGGAGGCAGCAGUAGGGAAUUUUCCACAAUGGGCGAAAGCCUGAUGGAGCAACGCCGCGUGCAGGAUGAAUGCCUUCGGGUUGUAAACUGCUUUUAUAUGUGACGAAUAUGACGGUAGCAUAUGAAUAAGGAUCGGCUAACUCCGUGCCAGCAGCCGCGGUCAUACGGAGGAUCCAAGCGUUAUCCGGAAUUACUGGGCGUAAAGAGUUGCGUAGGCGGCAUAGUAAGCAGAUAGUGAAAGCGUGUGGCUCAACCAUACUCACAUUAUCUGAACUGCUAAGCUAGAGGACGAGAGAGGUCACUGGAAUUCCUAGUGUAGGAGUGAAAUCCGUAGAUAUUAGGAGGAACACCAAUGGCGUAGGCAGGUGACUGGCUCGUUCCUGACGCUCAGGCACGAAAGCGUGGGGAGCAAACGGGAUUAGAUACCCCGGUAGUCCACGCCGUAAACGAUGGAUGCUAGCUGUUAGAGGUAUCGACCCCUCUAGUAGCGAAGCUAACGCGUUAAGCAUCCCGCCUG
rnacentral:rRNA from 1 species